CCAUGAAGUCGGAAUCGCUAGUAAUCGUAGAUCAGAAUGCUACGGUGAAUACGUUCCCGGGCCUUGUACACACCGCCCGUCACACCAUGGGAGUGGGUUGCAAAAGAAGUAGGUAGCUUAACCUUCGGGAGGGCGCUUACCACUUUGUGAUUCAUGACUGGGGUGAAGUCGUAACAAGGUAACCGUAGGGGAACCUGCGGUUGGAUCACCUCCUUACCUAAGAGA
rnacentral:rRNA from 1 species